rnacentral:sRNA from 14 species
GAGUGAUGUCACAGUGAUGUCACAGUGACGUCACAGUGAUGUCAGAGUGAUGUCAGAGUGAUGUCACAGUGAUGUCACAGAGACGUCACUGAUGUCAGAGUGACGUCACAGUGAUGUCACAGUGAUGUCAGAGUGAUGUCAGAGUGA